CUGGAGGGUCCCACCGUGGGCUCUGAGGGGGGGAGGAGGGGGGAGGAGACACCAUGUUUUAUUGGACCUUCAGUGAAUCUACAGAGUUCACCACGGCAAUCUGACUGAACGGUCCCUCUCCUCGCCGGUUGAACGCCCUGAUCUUCACCUCAAACGGGCUGUACGGCGUCAGGCUCUCGUUGAAGUAGACGUAUCGAGAAGACUCCACGUGAGGAACACGGACCACCGUCCACGACGACGUGUCCUUCCUCCUGAACGCCAGGAUGUAGCCGAAGCUGUCUCCGUUCUGAUACUCUCUGGCCAUUGGCUGCAGGGUUCAGACCGCAGGAUGAAGACGGGAACAAAGACGGAGAGGUUUUAAAGAGGGAGAAUAACGUGUUUCUGUGUUUUCAGACCUACAUAAAGUCUGAAUUAAAGGGAUACUUCACUCA